rnacentral:rRNA from 1 species
UGGGGAAUAUUGGACAAUGGGGGCAACCCUGAUCCAGCCAUGCCGCGUGUGUGAAGAAGGCCUUAGGGUUGUAAAGCACUUUCAGUGGGGCGAAAGGUGGUUUGGUUAAUAGCCGAAUCAAUUGAUGUUACCCACAGAAGAAGCACCGGCUAACUCCGUGCCAGCAGCCGCGGUAAUACGGAGGGUGCAAGCGUUAAUCGGAAUUACUGGGCGUAAAGCGCACGUAGGCGGUUUGUUAAGCCAGCCGUGAAAUCCCCGGGCUCAACCUGGGAAUUGCAGUUGGAACUGGCAAGCUAGAGUAUGGUAGAGGGGUGUGGAAUUUCAGGUGUAGCGGUGAAAUGCGUAGAUAUCUGAAGGAACAUCAGUGGCGAAGGCGACACCCUGGAUCAAUACUGACGCUGAGGUGCGAAAGCGUGGGGAGCAA